CGCGACGGCGACAAAACAGAAGCAGUUCCACGGGUUGCGGAUCUACCACAUCCUUCCAACAGUGACAUAAGGGAUACUAUGACUGGGCUGACUACUGUAAAUUGCAUAUAAGUAUUUUUUGCUUUGUUCCUGGACAGAUCUGAUUUGGAGAACUACACCAUGCAGCCGAUCGGGGUCUGGUAUGCCACCCAGACGGGCCUGUAUGCCGCCUUGGCCGGCCUGACUGGCAAGUUCGCCGCCUCCUACAGCGAGGCGCACUGGCUCUGCCUGCUCGCCAGCAAGUUCCUCAUGUUGACCGGCCUGGUGCAGCCGCAGCUGGGCUUCUGCGACCGGCGCGUGAUCGUGUUCCGCGUGGUCGCGUUCCUGCUGACCCUGCUGGUGAACGC
rnacentral:lncRNA from 1 species